UUAAGCGACUAAGCGUACACGGUGGAUGCCCUGGCAGUCAGAGGCGAUGAAGGACGUGCUAAUCUGCGAAAAGCGUCGGUAAGGUGAUAUGAACCGUUACAGCCGGCGAUGUCCGAAUGGGGAAACCCAGUGUGAUUCGUCACACUAUCGUUAACUGAAUACAUAGGUUAACGAGGCGAACCGGGGGAACUGAAACAUCUAAGUACCCCGAGGAAAAGAAAUCAACCGAGAUUCCCCCAGUAGCGGCGAGCGAACGGGGAGCAGCCCAGAGUCUGAAUCAGCUUGUGUGUUAGUGGAACGGUCUGGAAAGUCCGACGGUACAGGGUGAUAGUCCCGUACACCAAAAUGCACAGGUUGUGAACUCGAAGAGUAGGGCGGGACACGUGGUAUCCUGUCUGAAUAUGGGGGGACCAUCCUCCAAGGCUAAAUACUCCUGACUGACCGAUAGUGAACCAGUACCGUGAGGGAAAGGCGAAAAGAACCCCGGCGAGGGGAGUGAAAAAGAACCUGAAACCGUGUACGUACAAGCAGUGGGAGCACCUUCGGGUGUGACUGCGUACCUUUUGUAUAAUGGGUCAGCGACUUAUAUUCUGUAGCAAGGUUAACCGUAUAGGGGAGCCGCAGGGAAACCGAGUCUUAACUGGGCGUUAAGUUGCAGGGUAUAGACCCGAAACCCGGUGAUCUAGCCAUGGGCAGGUUGAAGGUUGGGUAACACUAACUGGAGGACCGAACCGACUAAUGUUGAAAAAUUAGCGGAUGACUUGUGGCUGGGGGUGAAAGGCCAAUCAAACCGGGAGAUAGCUGGUUCUCCCCGAAAGCUAUUUAGGUAGCGCCUCGUGAAUUCAUCUUCGGGGGUAGAGCACUGUUUCGGCUAGGGGGUCAUCCCGACUUACCAACCCGAUGCAAACUACGAAUACCGAAGAAUGUUAUCACGGGAGACACACGGCGGGUGCUAACGUCCGUCGUGAAGAGGGAAACAACCCAGACCGCCAGCUAAGGUCCCAAAGUCAUGGUUAAGUGGGAAACGAUGUGGGAAGGCACAGACAGCCAGGAUGUUGGCUUAGAAGCAGCCAUCAUUUAAAGAAAGCGUAAUAGCUCACUGGUCGAGUCGGCCUGCGCGGAAGAUGUAACGGGGCUAAACCAUGCACCGAAGCUGCGGCAGCGACACUAUGUGUUGUUGGGUAGGGGAGCGUUCUGUAAGCCUGCGAAGGUGACCUGUGAGGGUUGCUGGAGGUAUCAGAAGUGCGAAUGCUGACAUAAGUAACGAUAAAGCGGGUGAAAAGCCCGCUCGCCGGAAGACCAAGGGUUCCUGUCCAACGUUAAUCGGGGCAGGGUGAGUCGACCCCUAAGGCGAGGCCGAAAGGCGUAGUCGAUGGGAAACAGGUUAAUAUUCCUGUACUUGGUGUUACUGCGAAGGGGGGACGGAGAAGGCUAUGUUAGCCGGGCGACGGUUGUCCCGGUUUAAGCAUGUAGGCUGAUUGUCCAGGCAAAUCCGGAUAAUCAAGGCUGAGGUGUGAUGACGAGGCACUACGGUGCUGAAGUAACAAAUGCCCUGCUUCCAGGAAAAGCCUCUAAGCAUCAGGUAACAUUAAAUCGUACCCCAAACCGACACAGGUGGUCAGGUAGAGAAUACCAAGGCGCUUGAGAGAACUCGGGUGAAGGAACUAGGCAAAAUGGUGCCGUAACUUCGGGAGAAGGCACGCUGGUGUGUAGGUGAAGUCCCUGCGGAUGGAGCUGAGACCAGUCGAAGAUACCAGCUGGCUGCAACUGUUUAUUAAAAACACAGCACUGUGCAAACACGAAAGUGGACGUAUACGGUGUGACGCCUGCCCGGUGCCGGAAGGUUAAUUGAUGGGGUUAUCCGUAAGGAGAAGCUCUUGAUCGAAGCCCCGGUAAACGGCGGCCGUAACUAUAACGGUCCUAAGGUAGCGAAAUUCCUUGUCGGGUAAGUUCCGACCUGCACGAAUGGCGUAAUGAUGGCCAGGCUGUCUCCACCCGAGACUCAGUGAAAUUGAACUCGCUGUGAAGAUGCAGUGUACCCGCGGCAAGACGGAAAGACCCCGUGAACCUUUACUAUAGCUUGACACUGAACAUUGAGCCUUGAUGUGUAGGAUAGGUGGGAGGCUUUGAAGCGUGGACGCCAGUCUGCGUGGAGCCAACCUUGAAAUACCACCCUUUAAUGUUUGAUGUUCUAACGUUGGCCCCUGACCGGGGUUGCGGACAGUGUCUGGUGGGUAGUUUGACUGGGGCGGUCUCCUCCCAAAGCGUAACGGAGGAGCACGAAGGUUAGCUAAUCCUGGUCGGACAUCAGGAGGUUAGUGCAAUGGCAUAAGCUAGCUUGACUGCGAGCGUGACGGCGCGAGCAGGUGCGAAAGCAGGUCAUAGUGAUCCGGUGGUUCUGAAUGGAAGGGCCAUCGCUCAACGGAUAAAAGGUACUCCGGGGAUAACAGGCUGAUACCGCCCAAGAGUUCAUAUCGACGGCGGUGUUUGGCACCUCGAUGUCGGCUCAUCACAUCCUGGGGCUGAAGUAGGUCCCAAGGGUAUGGCUGUUCGCCAUUUAAAGUGGUACGCGAGCUGGGUUUAGAACGUCGUGAGACAGUUCGGUCCCUAUCUGCCGUGGGCGCUGGAGAAUUGAGGGGGGCUGCUCCUAGUACGAGAGGACCGGAGUGGACGCAUCACUGGUGUUCGGGUUGUCAUGCCAAUGGCACUGCCCGGUAGCUAAAUGCGGAAGAGAUAAGUGCUGAAAGCAUCUAAGCACGAAACUUGCCCCGAGAUGAGUUCUCCCUGAGACUUUAAGUCUCCUGAAGGAACGUUGAAGACGACGACGUUGAUAGGCCGGGUGUGUAAGCGCAGCGAUGCGUUGAGCUAACCGGUACUAAUGAACCGUGAGGCUUAACCUU
rnacentral:rRNA from 1 species